GUGCUCUCUGGCAGCACAUACACUAAAAUUGGAAUGAUACAGAGGAGACUAGUGGGGCCCCUGUGCAAGGAUGACAGGCAAAUUCAUGAAUGGUUCUAUACUUUU